AGCAGUGUGGUACAGUGGUAAGAUGCAGGGCUCAUAACCGGAAGGUUGCUGGUUCCAUUCCCCGCUGGGA